AGUGAACGCUGGCGGUAGGCCUAACACAUGCAAGUCGAACGGCAGCACAGUAAGAGCUUGCUCUUACGGGUGGCGAGUGGCGGACGGGUGAGGAAUACAUCGGAAUCUACUUUUUCGUGGGGGAUAACGUAGGGAAACUUACGCUAAUACCGCAUACGACCUACGGGUGAAAGCAGGGGAUCUUCGGACCUUUCGCGAUUGAAUGAGCCGAUGUCGGAUUAGCUAGUUGGCGGGGUAAAGGCCCACCAAGGCGACGAUCCGUAGCUGGUCUGAGAGGAUGAUCAGCCACACUGGAACUGAGACACGGUCCAGACUCCUACGGGAGGCAGCAGUGGGGAAUAUUGGACAAUGGGCGCAAGCCUGAUCCAGCCAUACCGCGUGGGUGAAGAAGGCCUUCGGGUUGUAAGCCCUUUUGUUGGGAAAGAAAAGCAGCAGGUUAAUACCCCGCUGUUCUGACGGUACCCAAAGAAUAAGCACCGGCUAACUUCGUG
rnacentral:rRNA from 1 species